GGGGAAUAUUGCACAAUGGGCGCAAGCCUGAUGCAGCCAUGCCGCGUGUAUGAAGAAGGCCUUCGGGUUGUAAAGUACUUUCAGCGAGGAGGAAGGCAUUAAGGUUAAUAACCUUAGUGAUUGACGUUACUCGCAGAAGAAGCACCGGCUAACUCCGUGCCAGCAGCCGCGGUAAUACGGAGGGUGCAAGCGUUAAUCGGAAUUACUGGGCGUAAAGCGCACGCAGGCGGUCUGUUAAGUCAGAUGUGAAAUCCCCGGGCUCAACCUGGGAACUGCAUUUGAAACUGGCAGGCUUGAGUCUUGUAGAGGGGGGUAGAAUUCCAGGUGUAGCGGUGAAAUGCGUAGAGAUCUGGAGGAAUACCGGUGGCGAAGGCGGCCCCCUGGACAAAGACUGACGCUCAGGGGCGAAAGCGUGGGGAGCAAAC
rnacentral:rRNA from 1 species